rnacentral:rRNA from 1 species
CCAAACUGUUGCCUCGGCGGGAUCUCUGCCCCGGGUGCGUCGCAGCCCCGGACCAAGGCGCCCGCCGGAGGACCAACCAAAACUCUUUUUGUAUACCCCCUCGCGGGUUUUUUAUAAUCUGAGCCUUCUCGGCGCCUCUCGUAGGCGUUUCGAAAAUGAAUCAAAACUUUCAACAACGGAUCUCUUGGUUCUGGCAUCGAUGAAGAACGCAGCGAAAUGCGAUAAGUAAUGUGAAUUGCAGAAUUCAGUGAAUCAUCGAAUCUUUGAACGCACAUUGCGCCCGCCAGUAUUCUGGCGGGCAUGCCUGUCCGAGCGUCAUUUCAACCCUCGAACCCCUCCGGGGGGUCGGCGUUGGGGAUCGGCCCUGCCUCUUGGCGGUGGCCGUCUCCGAAAUACAGUGGCGGUCUCGCCGCAGCCUCUCCUGCGCAGUAGUUUGCACACUCGCAUCGGGAGCGCGGCGCGUCCACAGCCGUUAAACACCCAACUUCUGAAAUGUUGACCUCGGAUCAGGUAGGAAUACCCGCUGAACUUAAGCAUAUCAAUAGCCGGAGGAA